CUUGCUACUUUGCCGGCGAGCGGCGGAGGGGUGAGUAGUGUCUGGGAAACUGCCUGAUGGAGGGGGAUCACUACUGGACACGGUCGCUAAUACCGCAUAACGUCGCAAGACCAAAGAGGGGGACCUUCGGGCCUCGUGCCAUCAUAUGUGCCCAGAUGGGAUUAUCUAGUAGGUGGGGUAACGGCUCACCUAGGCCACUAUCCCUAUCUGGUCUGAGAGGAUGACCAACCACUCUGGAACUGACACACGGUCCACACUCCUACGGGAGGCAGCAGUGGGGAAUAUUGCACAGUGGGCGCAAGCCUGAUGCACCCGUGCCGCGUGUAUGAAGAAGGCCUUCGGGUUGUAAAGUACUUUCGGCGGGGAAGAAGGUGUUGGGGUUAAUAACCUCMGCUAUUGACGUUCCCCGCAAAAGAAGCACCGGCUAACUCCGUGCCAGCACCCGCGGUAAUACAGAGGGUGCAAGCGUUAAUCAGAAUUACUGGGCGUAAAGCGCACGCGGGCGGUCUGUCAAGUCAUAUGUGAAAUCCCCGGGCUCAACCUGGGAACUGCUUUCAAAACUGGCGGGGUAGAGUCUUGUAGAGGGGGGUAAAAUUCCGGGUGUAGCGGUGAUAUGCGUAGAUAUCUGGAAGAAUACCGGUGGGAAACGC
rnacentral:rRNA from 1 species